rnacentral:rRNA from 1 species
GACGAACGCUGGCGGCGUGCUUAACACAUGCAAGUCGAACGGAAAGGCCCUGCUUUUGUGGGGUGCUCGAGUGGCGAACGGGUGAGUAACACGUGAGUAACCUGCCCUUGACUUUGGGAUAACUUCAGGAAACUGGGGCUAAUACCGGAUAGGAGCUCCUGCUGCAUGGUGGGGGUUGGAAAGUUUCGGCGGUUGGGGAUGGACUCGCGGCUUAUCAACUUGUUGGUGGGGUAGUGGCUUACCAAGGCUUUGACGGGUAGCCGGCCUGAGAGGGUGACCGGCCACAUUGGGACUGAGAUACGGCCCAGACUCCUGCGGGAGGCAGCAGUGGGGAAUAUUGCACAAUGGGCGGAAGCCUGAUGCAGCAACGCCGCGUGCGGGAUGACGGCCUUCGGGCUGUAAACCGCUUUCGCCUGUGACGAAGCGUGAGUGACGGUAAUGGGUAAAGAAGCACCGGCUAACUACGUG